rnacentral:rRNA from 1 species
CCCUUAGACGUUCUGGGCCGCACGCGCGCUACACUGACCAGUGCAACAAGCAUCCGUCCUUGGCCGACAGGCUCGGGCAAUCUUUGAACGCUGGUCGUGAUGGGGAUAGACUUUUGCAAUUUUUGGUCUUCAACGAGGAAUUCCUAGUAAACGCAAGUCAUCAACUUGCAUUGAUUACGUCCCUGCCCUUUGUACACACCGCCCGUCGCACCUACCGAUUGAAUGGUCCGGUGAAGCCUCCGGAUUGGCGCGCACCCCGGUGCCGCCGAGAAGUUGGCUAAACCUUACCAUUUAGAGGAAGGUGAANUCGUAACA